UUUAGAUGAUAGUCGCUUUGGCACAAACCCCAAACUUCUUUAAUGUCUCAAUGUAGCUUCCCUAGAGGCACCAAUGUAACCCUAGAGAGCAUUUUGCUCAGAAUGCUCUGUGUCCCGCUGACCACAGCCUGCCUCGUUCCUUUCCAUCCUGGUCUUGGUGCUCCCUACUGAGUGUACAGACAACGUGCUGCCUUUUGGGCAGGGCAGAAAGCUGAGCUAUCCUCCACCAUUUCAGGUUUUAGCGUGGCUGUGAGAUGAAUCUGAUCCAGCAUCUGGCCAAACUCAGGGACCAACGCACUGAUCGGCUGUUCCCUAUGACUGCAGUGUGUCAGCACUCAAGCUGGGAAAGCUUGAGGGCACGUGUUUCCUAUCCCUCUGCCUAUGGACCUAAGAGCAGAGACUGAUAGGGAUCGAUAUUCAGAAAGGAGCGCAGUUUGGCAGAGGAUGCCAAAGGAGCCUGCUGAGCGUGGCCACAGAUGAUCCCAGCUGAGCGUGGCCACUCACAAACUGAAGAGAACCUCUGUGCUGUGUCAUCAAUUGGAGCUGCAAUAAAUGAUCCUAUAUCAAGCACUGUGUUUUUCAUUCCUCAAAAUGACUUACAAAGUGAGGUAUUCUGAUGGCAUGACUGCAUCACGUGAAUCGGAGCAACUUUUGGAACAAAAAAAAGGCAAUGUAUCUCUAAACCUGAUGGCUGCAGAAUGGGAGGCUUGCAAAUGAGUCCAACACGCGCCAUUAGACCUGGGAAGUCAGGACAAACCACAGAGAAGCUAUGAUGUGUGCAGACAUGCGUGCAGCAAUUUUACAACAGAUAGAGUCGAUCCACCCCGAAGAUGAUGUAUGAUGUGGUUGUGUUCUCUGCCUUGGCGUGUACCAGUCUUCUUCCCUCUGUGCAGAGGUGUGACCUGUGCAGAGGUCAGCAGGGACUGCAGCGUUUUCCAUGCCCUCCUGGUGCUGUGGCCUCCUUGGGCUUCAUGCUGGGGAUUCCUGUUCAAAGGCUGAUGGGCAACUUGAGUGAUGCUGAGAUCAUUUUCUGGAAUAAUUUUCACAGUGACUAAAAUACUCUCUCGAAAGUCAUAUUCUUUUCUGAGAUUUGUCUUGGAUUACUGCAGCGACACGCAAUAUAUUAAAAGGAUUUGCUUCUUAUUGUGAUUGGCUUCCACCUUGGCCAACACAGCAGGUUUUGAGCUCAGUUCCCCAGAAUUAACAGCACUGUGCUGCUACUGUUUUGUGAGCUCCAGGCUCCAGCAAGCCACUGUUCUCUGGUUCAGCACAGAGGGGUCCUGGAACAAAUUUCCCUUCCCCCUCCUCCUUCCCCUAAGGUUUGUUCCUUGCAUUCUUCUGUGUGUUUCCUCAUGGAAAGGCGUUUCACUGUGAUGUUUGGGUUUGUUGGUAUAGGAAAAUGAUUCACUUUACGGGUUUGUCCUCUGAUGUGUAUAAGGGAGUGCAUGUAUUUAAUGUGAAGGAGAG
ensembl:lncRNA